GACGAACGCUGGCGGCGUGCUUAACACAUGCAAGUCGAACGGAAAGGCCCUGCUUUUGUGGGGUGCUCGAGUGGCGAACGGGUGAGUAACACGUGAGUAACCUGCCCUUGACUUUGGGAUAACUUCAGGAAACUGGGGCUAAUACCGGAUAGGAGCUCCUGCUGCAUGGUGGGGGUUGGAAAGUUUCGGCGGUUGGGGAUGGACUCGCGGCUUAUCAGCUUGUUGGUGGGGUAGUGGCUUACCAAGGCUUUGACGGGUAGCCGGCCUGAGAGGGUGACCGGCCACAUUGGGACUGAGAUACGGCCCAGACUCCUACGGGAGGCAGCAGUGGGGAAUAUUGCACAAUGGGCGGACGCCUGAUGCAGCAACGCCGCGUGCGGGAUGACGGCCUUCGGGUUGUACACCGCUUUCGCCUGUGACGAAGCGUGAGUGACGGUAAUGGGUAAAGAAGCACCGGCUAACUACGUG
rnacentral:rRNA from 1 species